GCAAUCAUACUAGCACUAAUGCACCGGAUCCCAUCAGAUCUUUGUAGUUAAGCGUGCAUGAGCGAGAGUAGUACUAGGAUGGGUGACCCCUGAGAAGUCUUCAUGUUGUACCCC